AUUGAACGCUGGCGGCAGGCCUAACACAUGCAAGUCGAGCGGAUGAGAAGAGCUUGCUCUUCGAUUCAGCGGCGGACGGGUGAGUAAUGCCUAGGAAUCUGCCUGGUAGUGGGGGACAACGUUUCGAAAGGAGCGCUAAUACCGCAUACGUCCUACGGGAGAAAGCAGGGGACCUUCGGGCCUUGCGCUAUCAGAUGAGCCUAGGUCGGAUUAGCUAGUUGGUGAGGUAAUGGCUCACCAAGGCGACGAUCCGUAACUGGUCUGAGAGGAUGAUCAGUCACACUGGAACUGAGACACGGUCCAGACUCCUACGGGAGGCAGCAGUGGGGAAUAUUGGACAAUGGGCGAAAGCCUGAUCCAGCCAUGCCGCGUGUGUGAAGAAGGUCUUCGGAUUGUAAAGCACUUUAAGUUGGGAGGAAGGGCAGUAAGUUAAUACCUUGCUGUUUUGACGUUACCGACAGAAUGAGCACCGGCUAACUCUGUGCCAGCCGCCGCCGUAAGAC
rnacentral:rRNA from 1 species